GCCUCAGGCGGAGGGGAGGCCCCGCAUGCGGGGGAGGGGCCGAGGCAGGAUCCGCGAACCCAGCGCGCAGGGCGACGGCCCGGGCCCGGCUCUGGUAGGGGCGGGGGGGGAGGCGCCUCCGUCCGGAGUUUCAGCGCCGCCGCAUCACCGCGCGGCUCCCAAGGCCUCCUCCGCGGGGCCAACGGCUUCGCUACUCCCGGCCGUUCUCGGCGUCAGAACCAUCCACCGCACCCCCCCAGCCCCAACGUCAAUAGCAACCGUUAGAUCCAACCGUCACUGCGUAGCCAUCACCGCGGCCGCUGGGUUCGCCACUGCGCAUGCGCGGCCAUUCCCUCUCUCUUUCCCUCUCUCUCAGCACACCCACCCCCUUCGCGUCUCGUCGGGCGCCCGAGCCGUCUUUCCCAAGCGAGCUGGGCGGGGCUCGGGAGGCGCUGAGCGAGCCCGACCAAGGCCCAGUGUCUUCCUUAAAGCCGGUUAGCGGUAGCGCUGCCCCUGGAGAGACGCGGCGAUCGGCAACGUCAUCCUCUCACCAUUAUCAAAACAACGUUCAGCGGCCCUGCACGCUCCUUACGCCGGGCCUUGGCGGAGCUUUCUCAGCGAACGCAGAACCUGUUUUGAAUCUCGGCGCCCAGAUUGGGACGCGCGAAGGACGGCGAGGGAAGUCUCUGAGCGCCCACAGAGUGUUGUUGGCCCGCCGCCGCUGCGAAACUCGCAGGCAGACGCGGCCUCCCUGGGCGGACUCGUUAUUUUAGUAAGGAAAAGCACUGCCGGAAUAACCAGAUUGGCCUUCUCUAAAGAAUCCAAAACACCCUCGACACUUGCACAGUUAAUGAAUACACUCCAGAUCCAGAAAGAACCCUACCCUUGGCAGAACAGAAAUGAGGAACAUAUAAUCAAGGAUGAAUAGCCUGAACUUGUAAGGAUGAUGUCAGAUAAGGCUACUACAAUGGAUUAGCCAAACAAGAGGCAGAAAAAGCUCCUUUCCUUUUUUAGUGGUUUACUUUGAAGAAAUUUGGUGUCCCAAAGAUUGCUAAUAUAGUGGAUUGGCCAAUCAAGAGGCAGAAGGGUGUUAAGUUAAAUUUGUGGGUGAUACUUAGUGGCACGAAAAGAGAAAUAAUGUCUCAAACACCGAAGAAAACAGGAGAAGGUGGGACACCUUUGGAAAGAAGAGGAUCAAAACAAGAUAUUGAAUUUAAGGGAGACAUUUUAAAAAUGUUUACAAAAAAUAAAAAAGAUAUUAAACAACGUGAGAAGAAUUUGGAGACGAGAUUAGAAUCAAUGGA